CCUACGGGUGGCAGCAGUGAGGAAUAUUGGUCAAUGGACGAGAGUCUGAACCAGCCAAGUAGCGUGAAGGAUGACUGCCCUAUGGGUUGUAAACUUCUUUUAUAUGGGAAUAAAAUGUUCCACGUGUGGGAUUUUGUAUGUACCAUAUGAAUAAGGAUCGGCUAACUCCGUGCCAGCAGCCGCGGUAAUACGGAGGAUCCGAGCGUUAUCCGGAUUUGUUGGGUUUAAAGGGAGCGUAGGUGGAUUGUUAAGUCAGUUGUGAAAGUUUGCGGCUCAACCGUAAAAUUGCAGUUGAAACUGGCAGUCUUGAGUACAGUAGUGGUGGGCGGAAUUCGUGGUGUAGCGGUGAAAUGCUUAGAUCUCACGAAGAACUCCGAUUGCGAAGGCAGUUCACUGGACUGCAACUGACACUGAGGCUCGAACGUGUGGGUAUCAAACAGGCUUAGCUACCCGGGUCGUC
rnacentral:rRNA from 1 species